rnacentral:lncRNA from 1 species
ACGUCUGAGGAGGGUCUAGGCUCCUGGUGGACUCUUCACUGACCCAGGGAUGUGGUUUUUACAGAGGGAAUGCUGGUUGUGAAUGGUGUAGAUCUGCUGUGCUCGCGAUCAGACCAGAACCGCCGAGAGCACCACACCGAUGAGUUUGAAUAUGACGAGCUAAUUUUGCGCCGUGGGCAGCCCUUCCACAUAAUCCUCUUCCUGAACCGGGAGUAUGAGUCCUCUGAUCGCAUUGCCCUUGAGCUUCUCAUCGGUGAGUGGGGCCUGGAAUGGGAAGGGGAAAGCCCCCCAGACUUGUUGAAGGGCUGGCGUCAGGUUAGAGAGGUCUUUAGGCUCCUCCCUGUCACUCCUCACCUCUGUCCAAAGAGGCUGGUGCCUGACUCAUAGUGCUCCCCUAGUGGUGCUCUCGGGAAGGACGUGCUGCUGCAGUUUCUUCAAGCCUCCAGGGGCGACUGUCUCAUUGAGCUGGCCUCUGUGUCUCCUUCAGCACAGUUGACUCCACGUGCCCUUCUUUCUG